rnacentral:rRNA from 1 species
CCCUUAGAUGUCCUGGGCUGCACGCGCGCUACACUGGAAGUUACGGAUUGAGAUACUACCUUGUCCGAAAUGGUCCGGGUAAUCACCUAAAAGCUUGUCAUAAUUGGAAUGGAUUAUUGUAACUAGUAAUCCUGAACGAGGAAUUCCUAGUAAGUCCCAGUCAACAGCUGGUACUGAUUACGUCCCUGCCCUUUGUACACACCGCCCAUCGCUACUACUGAUUGGACGUUUAAGCAAGAUUUUUAAACACUGACAGUGUGUAGUUCACGCUAUACUACAGUGAGAAGAAGAAGAUCGAGCUUACUUGUCUAGAGGAAGUAAAAGUCGUAACA